AAUCAACGCUGGCGGCGUGCCUCAGACAUGCAAGUCGAACGAUUAAAGCUCUCUUCGGAGAGUGCAUAGAGUGGCGCACGGGUGAGUAACACGUAAGUAAUCUGCCUUUGAGUGGGGAAUAACAGUCGGAAACGAUUGCUAAUACCGCAUAACGCAGCGGCACCGCAAGGUGACAGUUGUUAAAGGAGCAAUCCGCUUAAAGAGGAGCUUGCGGCAGAUUAGCUUGUUGGUAAGGUAACGGCUUACCAAGGCUACGAUCUGUAUCCGGUCUAAGAGGACGGUCGGACACACUGACACUGAAUAACGGGUCAGACUCCUACGGGAGGCAGCAGUCGGGAAUUUUGGGCAAUGGGGGAAACCCUGACCCAGCAACGCCGCGUGAAGGAUGAAGUAUUUCGGUAUGUAAACUUCGAAAGAAUAGAAGAAUAAAUGACGGUACUAUUUAUAAGCUCCGGCUAACUACGUGCCAGCAGCCGCAGUAAG
rnacentral:rRNA from 1 species